rnacentral:rRNA from 1 species
AACGAACGCUGGCGGCGUGCCUAACACAUGCAAGUCGCGCGCGAAAGUCUUCGGAUGAGUAGAGCGGCGCACGGGUGAGUAACACGUGGGUAAUCUGCCCUUAGGUCUGGAAUAACUCGGCGAAAGCCGUGCUAAUACCGGAUAAUACCAAUUCUCGAAAGUGAGUUGGGAAAAGCGGAGGCCUCCUUCGGGAGCUUCGUGCCAAAGGAUGAGCCCGCGGCCCAUCAGCUAGUUGGCGGGGUAAUGGCCCACCAAGGCUAAGACGGGUAGCUGGUCUGAGAGGAUGAUCAGCCACACUGGAACUGAGACACGGUCCAGACUCCUACGGGAGGCAGCAGUGGGGAAUCUUGCGCAAUGGGCGAAAGCCUGACGCAGCAACGCCGCGUGUGUGAUGAAGGUCUUCGGAUCGUAAAGCACUGUCGGCAGGAACGAAGGUUUGCUGGGUUAAUACACCAGUAGAUUGACGGUACCUGCAAAGGAAGCACCGGCUAACU